GACGAACGCUGGCGGCGUGCUUAACACAUGCAAGUCGAACGAUGAAGGAGAGCUUGCUCUCCGGAUUAGUGGCGAACGGGUGAGUAACACGUGACUAACCUGCCCCUUUCUCUGGGAUAACGCUCCGAAAGGAGUGCUAAUACCGGAUACGAACUCUGAACACAUGUUCGGAGUUGGAAAGUUUUUCGGAAAGGGAUGGAGUCGCGGCCUAUCAGCUUGUUGGUGAGGUAACGGCUCACCAAGGCGACGACGGGUAGCCGGCCUGAGAGGGCGACCGGCCACGCUGGGACUUGGACACGGCCCAGACUCCUACGGGAGGCAGCAGUGGGGAAUAUUGCACAAUGGGCGAAAGCCUGAUGCAGCGACGCCGCGUGAGGGAUGAGGGUCUUCGGAUUGUAAACCUCUUUCAGUAGGGACGAAGCGAAAGUGACGGUACCUAAAGAAGAAGCACCGGCUAACUACGUGCCAGCAGCCGCCGUAA
rnacentral:rRNA from 1 species